rnacentral:rRNA from 1 species
AACGAGCGCUGGCGGCAUGCCUAACACAUGCAAGUCGAACGAGACCUUCGGGUCUAGUGGCGCACGGGUGCGUAACGCGUGGGAACCUGCCCUUAGGUUCGGAAUAACUCCCCGAAAGGGGUGCUAAUACCGGAUAAUGUCUUCGGACCAAAGAUUUAUCGCCUUUGGAUGGGCCCGCGUUGGAUUAGCUAGUUGGUAGGGUAAAAGCCUACCAAGGCGACGAUCCAUAGCUGGUCUGAGAGGAUGAUCAGCCACACUGGGACUGAGACACGGCCCAGACUCCUACGAGAGGCAGCAGUGGGGAAUAUUGGACAAUGGGCGAAAGCCUGAUCCAGCAAUGCCGCGUGAGUGAUGAAGGCCUUAGGGUUGUAAAGCUCUUUUACCCGGGAUGAUAAUGACAGUACCGGGAGAAUAAGCUCCGGCUAACUCCGUG